rnacentral:rRNA from 1 species
CAGUCGUACCUGCGGACAAUCAGCUUUUUGAGUGUGAUUAUGUGGAUUGUGAGGAGUUUAAUCACCCUCAUGUUUUACGUAUUCGUGCUCUUGGGUGUACUUGCCCGUGUGGUAGGUUAACAUCAAUUUUGGUCGUCAUAAAAUGAUUGGAGGGAUGUAGCUUUGGUCUCGUAUCGAAGCUACAUUCCUCCAAU